rnacentral:sRNA from 1 species
UAUUCGCUGAGUUUCCGUUAUGGAAAGCGGGGGAACCAACCGUGAGGACUUUUCUCGUGUGAGAGCGGGAGGGCAUCACAAGGGGUGAAUCUUGCAGCACGGGCCGCCAUGAGGUCCUGCUUCAAGUAGGGCGACUCUCACCGCCCGAAUCCGACAGCUAACCUCGUAAGCGUAUCGAGAGAGG